CCUACGGGAGGCAGCAGUGAGGAAUAUUGGUCAAUGGACGAGAGUCUGAACCAGCCAAGUAGCGUGAAGGAUGACUGCCCUAUGGGUUGUAAACUUCUUUUAUAUGGGAAUAAAACGUUCCACGUGUGGGAUUUUGUAUGUACCAUAUGAAUAAGGAUCGGCUAACUCCGUGCCAGCAGCCGCGGUAAUACGGAGGAUCCGAGCGUUCUCCGGAUUUAUUGGGUUUAAAGGGAGCGUAGGUGAAUUGUUAAGUCAGUUGUGAAAGUUUGCGGCUCAACCGUAAAAUUGCAGUUGAAACUGGCAGUCUUGAGUACAGUAGAGGUGGGCGGAAUUCGUGGUGUAGCGGUGAAAUGCUUCGAUAUCACGAAGAACUCCGAUUGCGAAGGCAGUUCACUGGACUGCAACUGACACUGAGGCUCGAAAGUGUGGGUAUCAAACAGGAUUAGAUACCCGUGUAGUC
rnacentral:rRNA from 1 species